GGUCGUACGUCGGCGGUAUUCCGGUGAUGGCCGCGGCCGGCCGGGCGAUUAGUAGCUGUAGUUCUUGACGAACAUGCCCUCCUUGGCCUCGGCGGCCUCGCCGUCGGAGGUGUACUUGCCGAGCUGCGCCAGGGAGUUAGCCUUGGCGCGGAGCAGCAGCGCGUCCUGCGCCGCCGUCACCUUCUCCGGCUGGCCGCCCCAGGUCUUGAGGCAGGUGUUCUGCAGCGCGCGGGCGUAGGAGAAGGACACGUGCCACGGGUUGGUGCCCUGGUUCAUGGCGUUGAGGUUCUGCGUCGCCUCCACCUCCGACUGGCCUCCCGAGAGGAACAUGAUCCCCGGCACGGACGGCGGGAUCCGGCGGUGCAGGAGCUUCAGCGUGUACUCCGCCACCUGCUCCGGCGUCGCCCUGUCCUUGGCCUCCGCCCCCGGCGUCACCAUGGAUGGCUUCAGUAGGAUGCCCUCGAACAUCACGUUGUUCUCCGCCAUCGCGUAGAACGUCUCCGCCCACACCUUCUGCGCCACCUCGAACGUCCGCUCGAUCCCGUGCUCGCCGUCGAGGAGGAUCUCCGGCUCCACGAUCGGCACCAGCCCAUUGUCCUGCAAGAACGAAGGUUGUCAUGCAGGUCAUGCCACGCAUCAUGUAUCGUGUUUUUCUCUCACGAUUAUAAAUCAGUGAACAUAUUACUUUCAACCAUGACUUUUCAGAUAAGCGAACAAUAGCAAAUAAUAAAGCAACCAACCUGUGAGAUGGCGGCGUAGCGAGCGAGGCCCCAGGCGGCCUCCUUGACGGCGAGCUCAGAGGGGCCAUUAGGGAUGCUGACGACGGUGCGCCACUUGGCGAACCGGGCGCCCUGCUGGUAGUAGGCGGCCUCGCGAGAGGCGAGGCCGUCGAGGCCCUGGCACCAGGACUCGUUGUUGGAGCCGGCGAGCGGGACGAGGCCCUUGUCGACCUUGAUCCCGGGCACGAUCCCUUGCUCCACCAGGAUGUCGACGAUCUUCCGGCCGUCGACGGCGGACUGGUACAGCGUCUCCUCGAACAGGAUGGCGCCGGAGAUGUACUGGCCCAGCCCCGGCGCCGUCACCAGCAGCGUCCGGUACGCCUGCCUGUUCGCCUCCGUGUUCUCCAGCCCGAUCGACGCCAGCCUCUUCCCGCACGUCGCGUUCGACUCGUCCAUCGCCAGGAUGCCUCGCCCCGGCGACGCGAUCGUUUUCUGUCGUAGAUCAUCAUCCGAUCAGCAAGCACUUGAGCUAGCAGCAGCAGGAGCGUCAGGAGGAAGAAGAAGGUAUAUAUACGUACGGCGGUCUUGACGAGCUCAUCGGCGUAGGCGGAGGCGCGGACGACGACGGAGACGGUGGCCGGCCGGGGGGAGGCGGCGGCUUGCCGGGUGGCGCCCCAUUCGGACUUCUUGGGAAGGAAGGAGGACUUGAGAAGGCUAGCAGCGACCAUCUCGU
rnacentral:lncRNA from 1 species